ACUUACUGGAUAUGACUGUUUUCAGAUUCUUUAAAAACAAACCUUUUUUGUAGAAAUGCUUAAUUUUUAAGCGGUUAGGCACUGAGAGUAGCAGAAAUCCUGCAAAGCUUUAUAGUUCUCCAAGUGAGGUCUUGAUUUCAGUAGCUGUGCUUCUUAUGCCCCGGCUCUGCUGGAGAGGGGUGUUGGUAUUUUCAGGUAACAUUUGUUAGCACAAAUCUUUCGGUCUGUUACGUUGUCCUUCUUCACUCUAUCCGUGUUGUCAUCUCCAUUUCACGUCUCUCCUUCUGGAAACUGGCGUUGCUGUGUUGCUCUGAUGUGUACUUGCGAUCCGCCAGCAAGCACCAUCCACACUAAUAUUCGUCUCACAGCAUCCUCAUGAAGACAAGUCGUUGCACCUUAUGUAUAUCUCAAGCAAACCAAAAUGCAAUCUUCUGCUUUGUUCUGUUCUAAAUCAUUGUAGUUAUAUCUUUCUGAAACCAUUUUGCAUUUAGUUGAAAUUGUCAGUAUUUAUGCUUUUAACCUUCUGGAUUCAAGCCUGUAUAUAAAAUGUUGAAAGAAGCCCUUGCCCUUCGCUGCAGGGCUGGGAGUGGAAGGCUCUGUCUCAGGUGCACACUUAGUACUCUUCCAGCAUUCUUUAGCCCUUUAUUUAUUUUAGGUAUUCUGGUAUUUCCGAUGUAAUUUUGAAGUGUCUAGAGUAUAUUAUAGUAACUAAAACUGCAGCUCUGAAGCUGAGUGAAAGAAGAAAAUACUGUAAGAUGUCCUUGAAGUUUUGUUUGGGUACUGUAAAUGAGAUCGGGAAGAGGAAAAAUGUCUCACAGCCACAUUGGAAGCUACAGGUUCUUGUCCCCAAAUUAGGCUAGUCUCAGAUGGUGGAUCAAAACUCUAACUUCAUUUAACCCCCUUCUUGAGUGAUCUUGUCACCCCGGCAGCCUAUUCCCCACAAGUAUGAGAAAUCAUUUUAUCAGAUGUUGCCUGGAAGCCAUACUGAAAUAAUUCCCACAUGAUCACUGUUGUGCUCCUUCUGGUCCUUACAAUUGCUGGAGGAAAAUGAUGACAACACUAUGAGUGGAAGGGGCAUCUGAACCAUCAGGGUUGGAGUCUGACGUGUUGAAUCCCUUGUUUUCUUACUAGGUCAGAUGCUUUGCUAAGUCAUAAAAAAUGUGUUUGCACUCUGCAAUCUUUGGCUCAGUGUAUGGAAGUGUUUGCACUGAUGUAAAUGCCCAAGCACAUGAUAAAUUGCUAUGGAACAGACAUUAGCUGAAAACUGAAUAAUGCGUUCUGUUUAUAGGGUGGGGUGGGGAAUACCGCAUAACUCUGCUCUAAGCUUGGUAUUUGAUGUUAAUGUGAAGCAGUGGGUCCAUGCUGCCUGCUAAACUACUGUAUGCGUCAUAAGUGUUGUGAAGACCAGCAGCUGAAGGCUGGAGGACAGCAGCCAUUGAACAGAGGAGAAGCACCACUGGCUUAUCGGGGGAGAGGAAGAAAAUCAGAAGAGGCCCAGAGUCACCAUUUGUAAGAGAAAUGUUAGGGUGUUACAUGACGCUGUUGAGAGCCACACUUGAUUGCACUGCUCCACAGAGCCCUCAGAUAAGGCCAAUCCUCAUGGGCUACCUCGGCUUUCAAAGUUAACUUCAGUAAGUCUUUCACCUCUACCUUCAGUGCCACGAUUUUCCACUGCAGUGUUUCAACUUCACAAAACCGACUUCUCCGGAGAGAACAACACCUUGCUGCGAUGGGCAGUAGAAGCAAGUGCUUACCACAUUUGACCUGUAAAGUGUUUGGAGUGAUGGCUAGGUGGAAAUUGGAUUUAGCUUCUCCCCACACAUCCUUGUUUUGCACUUUAUGCAAAGUGUACUAAUUGCUAAUUAGAUGUUGUUUCUGUUCAUACAGGCAUUCCCAAAGAGUUAGACUGGACUUGGUUUUGAGUUUGGGGAUUGUUAAAGUCUUACUUAGAUUAACUAACAACAUGUGUCUAAUGAAGACAGAAGCAGCUCUGUAGUUCACGGACCCAUGUAUCUGAAGAAGCGUCAGGGUUUCAUGGACUACUUGGCUUGUGUUUGAAAGUGAUAGCUAAGUUGGUAUUACUCCAUGCCGAGUGACUGUCCUUUUCCAUGGGGACAUUGUUACCUUCUUACAUUUCAGAACAAAGAAGCAACAGAAGUAAAUGACAUAUGUUUGACUUCUUUGUAUAUCUGCACCUAUCUGUGCUACUCUUUCCUUCAAAUAUAAAAAUACACAUUUAUGAGGGAGGAAAAGGUUCCUCUUUUGACC
rnacentral:lncRNA from 1 species